GAUGAACGUUGGCGGCGUGCCUAACACAUGCAAGUCGAACGAAAGUAGCAAUACUUUAGUGGCGCACGGGUGAGUAACACGUAGCUUACCUCCCUCUCAGCGCGGGAGUAACGACUCGAAAGAAGUUGCUAAUACCGCAUAAGCUCACGGGUUCGUUAGAGACUUGUUGAGAAAAGGUAGCAAAUACACUGAGAGACGGGGCGUGCGGCCCA
rnacentral:rRNA from 1 species